AACGAACGCUGACGGCAUGCCUAACACAUGCAAGUCGAACGAGACCUUCGGGUCUAGUGGCGCACGGGUGCGUAACGCGUGGGAACCUGCCCUUAGGUUCGGAAUAACUCCCCGAAAGGGGUGCUAAUACCGGAUAAUGUCUUCGGACCAAAGAUUUAUCGCCUUUGGAUGGGCCCGCGUUGGAUUAGCUAGUUGGUAGGGUAAAAGCCUACCAAGGCGACGAUCCAUAGCUGGUCUGAGAGGAUGAUCAGCCACACUGGGACUGAGGCACGGCCCAGACUCCUACGGGAGGCAGCAGUGGGGAAUAUUGGACAAUGGGCGAAAGCCUGAUCCAGCAAUGCCGCGUGAGUGAUGAAGGCCUUAGGGUUGUAAAGCUCUUUUACCCGGGAUGAUAAUGACAGUACCGGGAGAAUAAGCGCCGGCUAACUCCGUG
rnacentral:rRNA from 1 species